rnacentral:rRNA from 1 species
AUUGAACGCUGGCGGCAGGCCUAACACAUGCAAGUCGAACGAGUGGCGGACGGGUGAGUAAUGUCUGGGAAACUGCCUGAUGGAGGGGGAUAACCACUGGAAGCGGUAGCUAAUACCGCAUAACAGGAGAUGUGCACAGAUGGGAUUCGCUUGGUGGUGGGGAAACGGCUCACCUAGGCCACGAUCCCUAGCUGGUCUGAGAGGAUGACCAGCCACACUGGAACUGAGACACGGCCCAGACUCCUACGUGAGGCAGCAGUGGGGAAUAUUGCACAAUGGGCGCAAGCCUGAUGCAGCCAUGCCGCGUGUAUGAAGAAGGCCUUCGGGUUGUAAAGUACUUUCAGCGGGGAGGCGUUACCCGCAGAAGAAGCACCGGCUAACUCCGUGCCAGCCGCCGCGGUAAUUC